rnacentral:rRNA from 1 species
GACGAACGCUGGCGGCGUGCUUAACACAUGCAAGUCGAACGGAAAGGCCCGCUUGCGGGUGCUCGAGUGGCGAACGGGUGAGUAACACGUGGGUAACCUGCCCCCUGCUUCGGGAUAACUCCGGGAAACCGGGGCUAAUACCGGCUAUUCAUUGCUGGACGCAUGGUUGGCGGUGGAAAGUUUUUCGGCUGGGGAUGGGCCCGCGGCCUAGCAGCUUGGUGGUGGGGUGAUGGCCUACCAAGGCUUCGACGGGUAGCCGGCCUGAGAGGGCGACCGGCCACACUGGGACUGAGACACGGCCCAGACUCCUACGGGAGGCAGCAGUGGGGAAUAUUGCGCAAUGGGCGGAAGCCUGACGCAGCGACGCCGCGUGAGGGAUGACGGCCUUCGGGUUGUAAACCUCUUUCAGCAGGGACGAAUUGUGACGGUACCUGUAGAAGAAGCACCGGCCAACUACGUGCCAGCAGCCGCCGUAA